CAUUAUUUGUCAGCAAGAAAUAUUAAUAUAUAGAAAACAAGUCUACUACGAUAAUUUAGUUUUAAAGAUAAUGGGAGUGUGCUGUGUUCAUAAUUGUAAUAAAACAAAUAAAAUAGAAUCUAAUACACAUAUUUCUUAUCAUAACAUUAAUAAGCUACAAACAUUGAAAAAAAAUCCUUAUUUAGUAAAAAUAUAAAGUUUUCUCAUUUUUAUUGCUAGGACAAAUAAUGC